CCUACGGGUGGCAGCAGUGGGGAAUAUUGCACAAUGGGGGAAACCCUGAUGCAGCGAAGCCGCGUGAGUGAAGAAGGCUUUCUGUAUGUAAAGCUCUAUCAGCAGGGAAGAAAAUCACGGUACCUGAUUACUAAUCCCCGGCUAACUACGUGCCAGCCGCCGCGGUAAUACGUAGGGGGCAAGCGUUAUCCGGAUUUACUGGGUGUAAAGGGAGCGUAGACGGAAGGACAAGUCUGGAGUGAAAUGCCGGGGCUUAACCCCGGAACUGCUGUGGAAACUGUGCAGCUAGAGUGCAGGAGAGGUAAGUGGAAUUCGUAGUGUAGCGGUGAAAUGCGUAGAUAUUAGGAAGAACACCAGUGGCGAAGGCGGCUUACUGGACUGUAACUGACGCUGAGGCUCGAAAGCGUGGGGAGCAAACAGGAUUAGAUACCCUUGUAGUC
rnacentral:rRNA from 1 species